rfam:Tupaia chinensis contig37070, whole genome shotgun sequence.
AUGCUUGAUUCACAGCACAUAUACUAAAAUUAGAACAACACAGAGAAGAUCAGCAUGGCCUCUGCUCAAGGAUGGCACACAAAUUCAUGGAGUGUUCAUAUUUUUA